GAUCUGUGGUUUUUGUAUAGUUUGUGUCUUAGCUUAGUUAUUUUUUUCCAGUUAAUUUUUUUAGGCACAAUUAGUAAAUUCCUCAUUGCCUCUGGCCUUUCAUAUUCCUUAGACCUAGUUCUGAUUAAAGCAACUCCACCCCUCAAAAGGCCCUCUGACACCUCACAAGGAAUGUGUUAGGAACUCUGAAAACUGGGUUCUUCGGGUUUCCCAAGGGCACCAGGCGACAUCUGUCACAGAUGCAGGAACAGCUCAGAAGGUUCUUAGGAACACUGUGUGCGUGGUUGCUUGUGUGCACGCCUGUGUGUGCAUGCCUUGUGUUUACACGUUGAAAGCCGUGAUUUAUCUGCUUCUCAGAGUCAUUGUGUUGUGUGUACUUUGUUUAUUGUAGAUUUAGGGGCAUUUGUUUCUUUGUUUUGGAACUUGUGAUUUUUUUUCCUGUUUGUUUACAUGGCUUGGAUUUUUGUUUUGUUUUUGGUAUUUGUACUUAAAUAUAGUUAUUAUCAAAGAAACUAGACAAUAUAAAAUACAGUUGAACAUAAAUACAAUAUAAAUAGUUUAUAGUUCUUUGACCCAGAGGUGACUAUGUUUUGCUUUCUAGAAUUUUCUGUGCACAUGUUUAUGUGAAUGUAUGUAUAUAAUCAUGCCUGAGGAUACUCAUUUCUAUUUUGGUGAUUUGAAUAGUUUCUAUAUGAGGCUAAUAUUUUGUUUAAUUAUCUCAUUAAAAUUUUUUUCGAAUAGCCAUUCAUUAAUUCAUGAACUGAGUGCUUGCUUAGAUGUUGGAUUCUGGUACUUGGGCUGUUUGAUGACUUGGUUCUCUCUCUUUUUAAAUUAAUCUUAUCUUUGAUAUAUAAUUAGCUAGUUCAUUUGAGUGGCUUUGAUUUACCUUGCUUACCUGGGGUUGGUGCUGACUCUAUGGGGAGACUGUAUAAGAAGGAACCUUUUUUCAUUUUUUUUUUAAAGACUGAUUCUCACUAUAAUAAUAAUGUAGAUCUCAAAGAGAUCUAUGUACCUGCUCCUCAGAUGCUGAGAUUAAAUGCAUAUGCUAUCAGGUCUAGGUUUCUGGGGUUUAUUCUUAUUCUGUCUUGUGAAAUUUUUUAUUACAUAUAUAUGUUGGGGGAUAUGUGGCCUGCACAUGCAUAGAGGUCAGAGGACAACAUGGGAGAGUCUCUUCUCUUCUUCUACCACAUGGGUUUUAGAAGAUUAGACUCAGGUCAUCAGGCUUGGCAGCAAGUGCCUUUACCCACAAGAAUGGUUUUGCCAGCUCUGUGUGAAAUCUUUUAACCUUUUCUGUCUCCCCUUUCUUAUAGGGCCAGUACUCUCACUUGGUUCUCCUGGCAGCGUUUGACUGUAUUGAUGAUACUAAGCUUGUGAAGCAGAUAAUCAUAUCAGUAAGUAACUUGGAUGGGAUGAGUGCUGGCGUUGGUCAGUUGAUAGUGUUGAAGUUUAAUGUCACACAUGUUAUAUAAACACUUUAUUUAACCUGUGCUUUCUGUCUAUGUUUUCCAUGACUUUCUAGUCACCUGGGCUAUGGGUUAUUUUAGAAUCUUGUUCUGUUCCUGUGUGCAUUCCAACCUUGUAACUGGAUAGUAAUUGUUUUAAAUGACCAUGGUGAAAAUGACAUUUUACACACACACACACACACACACACACAUACACGCACACACACACACAGUGUCCACACACAGUGGACAUCACCACCUCUUGAAGUCAAAUUGUUCCUAUACCUAUGACAGAUGUAAUGUUGACACUUCUACUUUUGAGUAAAGUUGAUUAAAUUCUUUUUUUCACAAAACAGUGCUUAAAUUUGAUUGAUGGUUGCCUAUGUAGUGAUGGCUCAGUUAAACACACUUCGUGUGGACAAGCAGCCUCUGCAGUUGUCCUUGCCAUCCAUCCCUGUGUGCUGGGUUAUGUGGAUGGAGAAGACAACACCCAGCACUUACUCAGUUGUGCCUGUGACAUCCUUUUACAGAAUCAGGUUAAAUGUUAUUAAAGUUGAAACAUUAACUUCCUCUUACAACCAAUUAUGCAGGUCUAAUCCAACGACCAAAGGUUACGUAAUACUUGAGUAAAGGUCUUUAUCCCUGCACUUGACUUUCAGGACUCUUGGGAAAGCUACUCCGAAGUAGAUAUAGUCAGAACUAUCUGUCCUUUGUGAUGCUCCUUUUCUCAUUCUGCUUGUGUAAGUCUUUCUUCCCUAUGUGUAGGAUACACAAGUAUUGAAUGGAUAAGGUUGAGAUUGCCCGAGUGGGGAAGAGAAAGUGCAGUACUGGUAUCAAAGACCAAAACUGAAAAUGAUUUCAAAACUGCUUAGUCUUUGUGAACACAAUUGUUCAACUGGAAAUCAUAAAUGCCGUUGUGUUUGCACACGAAUGGAGCCUUAGAGAAAUCUUACUGACAAAUGAGACUCACAGUGUCAGUAGAGGAAAGAAAGACUGUGGUUAGGUGUGGGUGCUGUCGCCUUCUUAGUCGCAGAUGAGGGUGGCUGGGUGUUGACUUGUUUAUCUCUAGUAGAAGGGAGGUGGGGAAGGUCUGUUCAGAUGGCAGCUGUCAGUCCCAGCUGUGGGUUCUCAGGCCCCGCUGGCACUUUCCCGCAUUGUUGUUGACUGUUUUCAAGUUGUAAUGACAUUUGUGGGGACUGGGUUGUGGGAAGGAACAUGUUGGCAAGAUUUUGUGUCACAGACUGAGUGUUUUGACAUGUUCCUUGGGACUUUAGUACCCUUUGACUCCAAGCAAUAGUGGUUGUUUUUAAUUUCUGUGACAGAGAUGUGAGGGUGUAGAAUUGGCUAUGAAUAAAGCUGUUUCACAAAAAUGGAAACUGGCUGGCCUAUUGAAAGUUUGCUUUUGUGUAAUAUUUCACAAAAUUGAAAAUGUGCAUAACUGUUCCAAAUGGAUUUCAAGGGAAACAAUCACCCUUCAGGACUUGCCAGAACUAUCUGCUGGGUUGGUCUUUCCCAGCGAUUUAUCUCACUUCAGCUUGCUGUUGGAGCUGUUUUCAUUUCUCUUGCUUAUCAGUUUGAAGUCCACAACUGUGGAGCCCAAGUUCCUAAAGACUCAUGGACAUGCCUCUCGCUGACAAAUGCGCUACCAGUUCUGGGUACCAUUAAGCCCCAAAGUUAGUGAUAAAGCCGUACUUAAUGUUCAUUGCUCUCGCAUUUCCCCACCCAUCCAUCACAGAGUCUGUUGUAGUGCUUUUUGAAAAUAGCCAGAAAAGGCCUAGAAUUGCCAGGUGCUCCUCGGGGUAUCCAUACUUCCCGAAUGUUAAGUCAAAAUUUCAACCUGGUCAGCUCUAUCUUUCUUUCUUUCAUUUUUCAAACUAAAUUUAAGCUGUUUCUUAUCUACUUUCCUUUCCAAAAUGAGCAUAUUUAUAAUUGAAAUGUGGUCCCAUUUAUUUUAGUGUGCACAGGCUGGUUUGGUAACAGUGUUCUUAAGGAAAGGAAUAAGAAGCUAGCUCAUUGCUGUUUGGGAAUGAAGCAGUAGUAAUGCAUAUUUUAGAUGCCUAAUCUUCAAUAUGUACUUCAAGUUACAAAGAGUAAGGUGUUGAGUGCUUGGCUUUCCAUCUUGUGACACAAAGAAAACCUAGUCAGGUCUUAGUGUUUCACACCUAUAAUCUCAUCACUUGAGAGGCCAAGACUGGAGGAUUGCCAUGAAUUUGGAGGCCAUCCUGGGCUGAAGAGUAAGAUACUAUUUUUAAAAGAGUGGAUUGGAGGGGGACAGUAAAACUUGACAGAGUUGAGGCUUUUCUUCUUGCUUUUAAAGAAUUAGAUAGUAAUCAUUUGGGCCCUUGUGGGAAGUAUAUGGUUUGUCCUGUUUGUUUAUACUUUUAAAGAAUGUUUUGCAAUG
rnacentral:lncRNA from 1 species